UUUUAAGAAGAAACCAUUGGCCCCUUGAGGCUUGAACGAAUGAUCCAGUUACCAAAUCCUUCGAUCGGGUCGAUAUUCGGCCCGGGUUCGCUAUCCAUAGCAUUUCCUCUCUCUCUCUCUCUCUCUGUGUGCCCCCCAAUGGCUAUCUCGUCCUGUGCCAGUAUUCAGACAAAGGGCUCCACUCCUCUUCCAGGAGCUGGAGCUGCAGCUGGACAUUGCAAAUACACGGGCCAAUCAGUGAGAGCUCUUCCUAUACGGAUAUUAACGGUUGGGAAAAAGCGUUCCCGUGGGCUGCAACUCCUAGUCGAUGAGUACAUCGGAAAACUCAAGAACUAUUGCAUUGUUGAUGAUGUUCAAAUACGUUCCAAUCCUAGAAAUGCACGUGAUGUGAAGGCUCAGGUCGAUGACGAGGACGCGGCUGUCAUGAACCUUAUCAGGUCUGACGACUGGGUUGUGAUGUUGGAUGAGAAUGGACAAGACAUUGGGUCUGCGCAGAUGGCUGAGUUAGUGGGGGAUGCCGGGAAUACAGCGGCAUGUAAAUUAAGGGCACUUAAAGCAUGGUGCUCCAUCCAUGAAUCCAGUAUCUUUUGAUGUACUUGGAACCAACUUCAAAGAAGAGUGACUUAGUGUCACUAAAAUGUCCUUUAUUGGCCAAUGAUCUGUCUGGGUAAUAUACUCAUCAGAAUUUCAUUUUUUUGGGCAUUCUUUAGGGUAAUCAUCCAUCAUUUGAUUCAUUUCACAUUAGUAUUAAAUUGCCUACCCUUUUGAAUGAAGUACAAUGGACUUUUUGUCCACCACAGUGACCACACGAUUUGUGAUUUGUAGAAUGUAUACAUGACAAAGUAGACCAUGCACUGGUUCUUUAUUCAGCAAAGCUAUUCUCUCAUUGCUGAAUUCUUGGGGGCAACAAAAAGGAGGGAGCUUCUAGAUUAUCACUCUGCAUAGGAGGACCCUAUGGUCAUGGACGGCAAUUGCGUGAGCGAGCUAAC